UGCCAGCAGCCGCGGUAACACGUAGGACCCGAGCGUUAUCCGGAUUUACUGGGCGUAAAGCGCGUGCAGGUGGUUUAGUAAGUUAGAUGUUAAAGCUCCGGGCUUAACCCGGAGAGGUCGUUUAAAACUGCUAGACUUGAGGACGGUAGAGGAAGGUAGAAUUCCGUGUGUAGUGGUGAAAUGCGUAGAUAUACGGAGGAAUACCAGUGGCGAAGGCGACUUCCUGGGCCAAUACUGACGCUGAGGUGCGAAAGCGUGGGGAGCAAACAGGAUUAGAUA
rnacentral:rRNA from 1 species